rnacentral:tRNA from 1 species
CGGGGCGUAGCGCAGCUCGGUAGCGCGUCUGCUUUGGGAGCAGAAGGUCGCCGGUUCGAAUCCGGCCGCCCCGA